rnacentral:rRNA from 1 species
AUUGAACGCUGGCGGCACGCCUUACACAUGCAAGUCGAACGGCAGCACGGGUGCUUGCGCCUGGUGGCGAGUGGCGAACGGGUGAGUAAUACAUCGGAACGUACCUUAUCGUGGGGGAUAACGCAGCGAAAGCUGUGCUAAUACCGCAUACGCCCUGAGGGGGAAAGCGGGGGAUCGCAAGACCUCGCGCGAUUAGAGCGGCCGAUGCCUGAUUAGCUUGUUGGUGGGGUAAAAGCCCACCAAGGCGACGAUCAGUAGCUGGUCUGAGAGGACGAUCAGCCACACUGGGACUGAGACACGGCCCAGACUCCUACGGGAGGCAGCAGUGGGGAAUUUUGGACAAUGGGGGCAACCCUGAUCCAGCAAUGCCGCGUGAGUGAAGAAGGCCUUCGGGUUGUAAAGCUCUUUUGUCAGGGAAGAAACACCGGCUCUAACACAGUCCGGGAAUGACGGUACCUGAAGAAUAAGCACCGGCUAACUACGUGCCAGCCGCCGCCGUAA